CCCUUAGACGUUCUGGGCCGCACGCGCGCUACACUGACCAGUGCAACAAGCAUCCGUCCUUGGCCGACAGGCCCGGGCAAUCUUUGAACGCUGGUCGUGAUGGGGAUAGACUUUUGCAAUUUUUGGUCUUCAACGAGGAAUUCCUAGUAAACGCAAGUCAUCAACUUGCAUUGAUUACGUCCCUGCCCUUUGAACACACCGCCCGUCGCACCUACCGAUUGAAUGGUCCGGUGAAGCCUCCGGAUUGGCGCGCACCUCGGUGCCGCCGAGAAGUUGGCUAAACCUUACCAUUUAGAGGAAGGUGAAGUCGUAACA
rnacentral:rRNA from 1 species